UUUGUGUCAUGUCCCCUCCGUCUCUCUGACUGGACUGGAGGCAAAUUAAUGGUGCAAAAAUUCUAUUACUGGGGAAAUAUCGCCAUCUAUAGGUCCGCCCUAACAUUGUCAUGGGGGGUUGUGUGUCAUGUCACCCAGUGG